GAUGAACGUUGGCGGCGUGCCUAAUACAUGCAAGUCGAACGGAGACGGUAGCAAUACGGUCUCAGUGGCGAACGGGUGAGUAACGCGUUGGUGACCUGCCCCGAAGUGUGGAAUAACAGAUCGAAAGAGCUGCUAAUACCGCAUAAUAUCCAGAGGAUUAGAUGCCUUUGGAUUAAAGGAUUUAUUCGCUUCGGGAGGGGCCUGCGUCCCAUCAGCUAGUUGGUAAGGUAAUGGCUUACCAAGGCGAUGACGGGUAGGGGACCUGAGAGGGUGGCCCCCCACAAUGGAACUGAAACACGGUCCAUACACCUACGGGUGGCAGCAGUAGGGAAUAUUAGUAAUGGGCGAAAGCCUGAACUAGCAACGCCGCGUGUGCGAAGAAGGCCUUCGGGUUGUAAAGCACUUUUUGAGAGGAUGAGGAAGGACGGUACUCUCAGAAUAAGUCUCGGCUAACUACGUG
rnacentral:rRNA from 1 species